rnacentral:rRNA from 1 species
CCUACGGGUGGCAGCAGUGAGGAAUAUUGGUCAAUGGACGAGAGUCUGAACCAGCCAAGUAGCGUGAAGGAUGACUGCCCUAUGGGUUGUAAACUUCUUUUAUAAAGGAAUAAAACGAGGCACGUGUGCCUUUUUGCAUGUACGUUAUGAAUAAGGAUCGGCUAACUCCGUGCCAGCAGCCGCGGUAAUACGGAGGAGCCGAGCGUUAUCCGGAUUUAUUGGGGUUCAAGGGAGCGUAGAUGGGUUGUUUAGUCAGUGGGGUAAGUUUGCGGCUCAACCGUAAAAUUGCAAUUGAUACUGGCAGUCUUGAGUACAGUUGCGGUAGGCGGCAUUCGUGGUGUAGCGG